CCGGAACAGAAGAGGGCGGUAUUGCACCAAUAAACUGGAUGCCAACCGCCGUUAAACUGGAAAGAAGACGAAUAUGACAGCUUGCUGUGAGAGAAAACGGGACAGAUGAGACACAUGUGUGUGUCUAUCUGCUGUAGAGUAACUGAUGAAGGCAUCCUGCCAUCAAAGGAUUUGUAUCUUUUGUGGUGAAGCAGGACCUGCAAGGAAAGGUGAAAAAGAGGGAAAACCUGAAACAAAAGAAUAAUGUAAUGACUUUUUGUAUUGUGUAUGUGUAUUUUUGUAGGACAUGAAAAUGUCUGUAGACUGGUGUGUGCACUGAGGAUGGAGAAGACCACAGCAUCAUCCUGGAAAUGAUCGAGAGUCACAGAUGAGACGCUCCCUCACUCCACCUGCCCUUUACUGUCUCAUCAGGACCAGAUGCUGCUGUGGUGUCUUCAUCCUCAGUGACCCCAGAGCCAGUCAGAGCAUCUAGAGAAAGACCACAAGACACUGAGGAUGUGAUUUUGGGGCCUACAAUCCCCUGAUCAACCUAGAGAACAGAGCCUUGCCCAAGGACACACUGGUGUUCCUGUGGCUCAAGUGGUAGAGCAUUGCGUUAGCAGUGCAAGGUUGUGGGUUCGAAUACCAGGGAACACAUGUUAGGUAGUCGUGCUCAUGGGGUGCAGGCACACGAAAGUUUGGAGCAGACUGAGCAGUCAGAUUGUCCUGCACGUGUUCUUCUGCUCUCGCUUUAAGGUUGUGUGGUUCAGAGAGCCGUCAUCAAGGUCUUCCUCAUCCUGUUGCUCAACGACAUCCCCGUUGAGAAGAGUGAGAUUGUGAAGUGCAGCAGCAGAACUGUAUCAGCUGUGUUCAGAUGGCAGGAGGAUGUUGGGUUCACCAUCUGUAAAUACUUGAUUGUUAGAACAAUAAGUUUGAAUGAAGCUUUGUUUCAUGUGUUGUUGACUUGUACAUGUAUGCAUUUAUUGUGAUGCUAACUUUUAUACAUUAUUUUAAUCAUUUAGACAUGUUUUUUGUUGUCAGUAAAUAAAAUAUAAAUAUUUUAUCCAU